GGAGUCUGGGUAUUUAUAAAGUUUUUAAAUUUGCAUCACUUGGCCUUUCCUAACGAUGAUUGUGAACAAGCCCUAACCCUAACAGGCUAUUUAAGGUCUGAGACCUCAGUCAAAUGGGUGUUCAAACUCCUU